CAGUGGCGUGCUGGGUACUAUUUUUCUGGGGAGGCCAGUCGGCUGGCAACUAAUAUGCGCCCCUAUAAUAUUACCCUUGAUAAACGAGGGCCGAAGGCACGAGCCGAGCGCCGCAGGUGCGAGGUUUGUCUAGGGGGGUCCGGGGGCAUGCCCCCCAGGAAAAUUUUUGAAUUUAGAGUCUCUGAAAUGGCAUUUCCUGGACUUUGGGGGAAGAUUUGACAGAAAUCUGAUGGUCAGGAAACGGCAUUACAACGCGUCGAAAUUUGAAAAUUGGUUAGAAUUUAGUAGCAGCACUUAAAUUGGGCAAUGCUAACUACUUCCAGCAAUUAAUCUAAUCCCAAUUCUAUUCUCUACUGAUCUGAAUACAUUUACAAUUUACAGCUCUUUUAUACAAUAACACACGAACAUGGGCGUACCGGAAGGAAAAAAUUAGGGGGGCGGAAAGAAAAUUGCCCGACUUUUCGGAUUCUGCCCGACUAGUACCAAAAAAUUUUUUCCGGAAAAAUUAUUUUGGCGACCUUCCCCCCCC